UACGUAGGGCGCAAGCGUUAUCCGGAAUUAUUGGGCGUAAAGAGCUCGUAGGCGGUUUGUCGCGUCUGCCGUGAAAGUCCGGGGCUCAACUCCGGAUCUGCGGUGGGUACGGGCAGACUAGAGUGAUGUAGGGGAGACUGGAAUUCCUGGUGUAGCGGUGAAAUGCGCAGAUAUCGGGAAGAACACCCGUGGCGAAGGCGGUUCUCUGGGACGGUACUGACGCUGAGACGCGAAAGCGUGGGGAGCGAACCGG
rnacentral:rRNA from 1 species